rnacentral:rRNA from 1 species
AUGCGGGAUUUGGAGGAGGAAGAGGAGAUCCGGUUGUUAACAUUUUCUCUAUGGUGUAUGUACCUAUUGUUCAUUGUAUUCGAGGGAGAGGACAACAAGAGUAAGAGAGCCUUGGGACGCGAAGGCAGUAGCAUGCAGCGCCAGGUCAAGCGCACCGACCUCGACGACCAGAGACCAGUACACUUAACAAGAUACAUCAAUGUUGCUUCCAAAGCAGAGCCCCUCCUAGAGGACAGUUUCUUUUAUCAGAAGGAGUCAAAUUUGUUUUUCUCACAAGCUGGAUCGUCGCAUAACUUAUUGGUGGUUGCACUAGCUGAGCUUUGUUAUAAGUUCUGGUGCGCAUUGUAUAUCAUAGAUAAAGUGUAUGUAAUCUUCUUGGUUUUUUCUUUCAAUCAAUUAACUUUUAACUGCUCACUAAUUGGUGCCCAUGCAUGUUCUGUUACAAUUGAAGUUCUUCUGCUGCAAAGUUGGGGAAAGAAUUGCAGUGCAAUCAAGUUUCGUCCGAGCACACAACAUCAGCGACGUGACGAUGAAGCAAUGACAUUGUCUGGCUAUUCAUACAAUUCUAUAGAAGAUGCAAUGGACGUUGCAGCUGCUCGAGUAAUGAAAUAUAUGGAGACCAUGCGUGCCAAGGACAAAGAAAAAGAAAUCAAAGAACAGGCUCUGAAGAUUAGAGAACUUAGCAAAGACUUUGCAGACUACUUAUAUCAGGUUAAAAGCACUUCUUCUGAGAUUCACCGCCCAGCUAAAGGAAGUGUAUGCUCAGCCAAUUCCAUAAGUGGUUGCGAGCUCCACAAAGCGGCUAUAGAUAUUCAUAAUGCAAUUGCUCAUCUUGGCCAGUUGAGUGAAAACUCUAUGCAGUGCCAUAUAUAG